UGGGGGAACCCUGACGGAGCGACGCCGGGUGAACGAAGAAGGCCGGAAGGUUGUAAAGUUCUUUUCUGUUCGAGGAAUAAGUUUCGGAGGAAAUGCCGGGACGGUGACGGUAGGCAGGAAUAAGCACCGGCUAAUUACGUGCCAGCAGCCGCGGUAAU
rnacentral:rRNA from 1 species